CCUACGGGGGGCAGCAGUGGGGAAUAUUGCACAAUGGGGGAAACCCUGAUGCAGCGACGCCGCGUGAGUGAAGAAGUAUCUCGGUACGUAAAGCUCUAUCAGCAGGGAAGAAAAUGACGGUACCUGACUAAGAAGCCCCGGCUAACUACGUGCCAGCAGCCGCGGUAAUACGUAGGGGGCAAGCGUUAACCGGAUUUAAUGGGUGGAAAGGGAUCGUAGACGGGAGCACAAGUCUGGGGUGAAAACCCGGGGCUUAAACCCGGAACUGCUUUGGAAACUGUGCGGCUGGAGUGCAGGAGGGGUAAGCGGAAUUCCUAGUGUAGCGGUGAAAUGCGUAGAUAUUAGGAGGAACAC
rnacentral:rRNA from 1 species